GGUGAAGAGACUAAUCAGUCCUCCAGUAUUGGAUGGUUUUUUGCUGAAUUCACCUUCGAAGAUUGCCUAACCUAGUCUGGGACGUUGAGUUGAGUGAGGAAUUUGGGGCACACAUGUGCUCGGCUGGUGAGCCGCCCCGACGUAAGGGGCCAUGCGCGAGCUAGUCUGCCCCAAGCUACGGAAGCUGCUGAAGAAUCAACGUCCCCACAUUCAUGUGCACCAAUUCCAUCACACUGACGAGCUGGAGAAAGGGAUUCCUCUCGCAGCGCAGACAAUUCACUGCGCAGAGCUGGAGGAGUUGCAGGAGUUGCUCCAUUUCCCUGAAGAGGUUGCCCUUCGCCUGGCUGAUACUGAGUACCAACUAUUCUA